UACUGUUGGCUUCCCCCAUCCCACCAGUUUCCCGUGGAGUCUUAACAUUUCCUUUUCUUCAUCCCAUUAGAUGGUGAGACAAUGUCAGCAGUAGCAAGUGGUGUAGUGCCAUGUGGGUAGGAAGUACAUGAAGCUGAGAAGACAAAGGGCUUGAUCUUCGAUGGGCAAGUUUGACUACUGAUAGAGAAGCAGCUGGGACACCCCCCCCCCCAACCCAGGUAGUCCAAGGGGGUCAGGAAUCAGGAGUGGGGAUGUCCUUUUGACCUAUGAGUUACAGGGCUCCAAGAGGUCCUGGUUGAAUUUCCUCCACAGGUUGAAGCUGGUCAAUCUCUUUGACAACUAA
rnacentral:lncRNA from 1 species